rnacentral:rRNA from 1 species
GAGUUUGAUCGUGGCUCAGGAUGAACGCUGGCGGCGUGCCUAAUACAUGCAAGUCGAGCGAACGGACGAGAAGCUUGCUUCUCUGAUGUUAGCGGCGGACGGGUGAGUAACACGUGGAUAACCUACCUAUAAGACUGGGAUAACUUCGGGAAACCGGAGCUAAUACCGGAUGAUAUUUUGAACCGCAUGGUUCAAAAGUGAAAGACGGUCUUGCUGUCACUUAUAGAUGGAUCCGCGCUGCAUUAGCUAGUUGGUAAGGUAACGGCUUACCAAGGCAACGAUGCAUAGCCGACCUGAGAGGGUGAUCGGCCACACUGGAACUGAGACACGGUCCAGACUCCUACGGGAGGCAGCAGUAGGGAAUCUUCCGCAAUGGGCGAAAGCCUGACGGAGCAACGCCGCGUGAGUGAUGAAGGUCUUCGGAUCGUAAAACUCUGUUAUUAGGGAGAACAUAUGUGUAAGUAACUGUGCACAUCUUGACGGUACCUAAUCAGAAAG